rnacentral:pre_miRNA from 1 species
AGGAGAUAUUAGUAGAUACAAUGGAGCUAUCAUUUCGACGAUAAGAUCACUCUAUUGUAUCUACUGAUAUUUGCUUGU